rnacentral:lncRNA from 1 species
GGUAGCUCACCUUAGCUCCUCCGUAGUCUCUGCAAAGGCCUCUGACACCAUAAGUUUCUCCUCCAGUGAAAGCUUUGCUUGGUUGAAGCCAAUCAAGCUCUCACAAAGGAUGGUGGCAUCAUGCGCCAACUGCAUAGAACAAAAAGUCAACGAUCACUGCUAAAAGUCAAAAGCAAAUUUGAAAGAUAGAAGCUCACCCGAAG